GUAUAAUGGGUCAGCGACUUAUAUUCAGUGGCAAGGUUAACCAUCUAGGGGAGCCGUAGGGAAACCGAGUCUUAACUGGGCGUUCAGUCUCUGGAUAUAGACCCGAAACCAGGUGAUCUAGCCAUGGGCAGGUUGAAGGUUGAGUAACAUCAACUGGAGGACCGAACCGACUAAUGUUGAAAAAUUAGCGGAUGACUUGUGGCUAGGGGUGAAAGGCCAAUCAAACCUGGAGAUAGCUGGUUCUCCCCGAAAGCUAUUUAGGUAGCGCCUCGGACGAAUACUACUGGGGGUAGAGCACUGUUAAGGCUAGGGGGUCAUCCCGACUUACCAACCCUUUGCAAACUCCGAAUACCAGUAAGUACUAUCCGGGAGACACACGGCGGGUGCUAACGUCCGUCGUGGAGAGGGAAACAACCCAGACCGCCAGCUAAGGUCCCAAAUUACUACUAAGUGGGAAACGAUGUGGGAAGGCUCAGACAGCCAGGAUGUUGGCUUAGAAGCAGCCAUCAUUUAAAGAAAGCGUAAUAGCUCACUGGUCGAGUCGGCCUGCGCGGAAGAUGUAACGGGGCUAAGUAGUAAACCGAAGCUGCGGCAAUGCACUUUAGUGCAUUGGGUAGGGGAGCGUUCUGUAAGCGGUUGAAGGUGUGUGGUAACGCAUGCUGGACGUAUCAGAAGUGCGAAUGCUGACAUGAGUAACGAUAAAGGGGGUGAAAAACCUCCUCGCCGGAAGACCAAGGGUUCCUGUCCAACGUUAAUCGGGGCAGGGUAAGUCGACCCCUAAGGCGAGGCCGAAAGGCGUAGUCGAUGGGAAACGGGUUAAUAUUCCCGUACUUCUUACAAUUGCGAUGGGGGGACGGAGAAGGCUAGGUGGGCCUGGCGACGGUUGUCCAGGUUCAAGUGCGUAGGCUUAAGA
rnacentral:rRNA from 1 species